rnacentral:rRNA from 1 species
CACGUAGGUGGUCGUAUGAGUGUGAUGUGAAAGCCCCGGGCUCAACCUGGGAAGUGCAUCGCAAACUAUGCGACUGGAGUACAUGAGAGGGUGGCGGAAUUUCCAGUGUAGCGGUGAAAUGCGUAGAUAUUGGAAGGAACGUCGAUGGCGAAGGCAGCCACCUGGCAUGAUACUGACACUGAGGUGCGAAAGCGUGGGGAGCGAACAGGAUUAGAUACCCUGGUAGUCC